rnacentral:miRNA from 1 species
AGUAGGUUUUACACAUUUUGGGGCAACUUUGUCUUCUGUGCACACAUAAGACAAAGUUGCCCCAAAAUGCAUAAAACCUACUAACAUCUGU